AUUGAACGCUGGCGGAAUGCUUUACACAUGCAAGUCGAACGGCAGCACGGACUUCGGUCUGGUGGCGAGUGGCGAACGGGUGAGUAAUGUAUCGGAACGUGCCCAGUCGUGGGGGAUAACGUAGUGAAAAUUACGCUAAUACCGCAUACGAUCUAUGGAUGAAAGCGGGGGAUCGCAAGACCUCGCGCGAUUGGAGCGGCCGAUAUCAGAUUAGGUAGUUGGUGGGGUAAAGGCCCACCAAGCCAACGAUCUGUAGCUGGUCUGAGAGGACGACCAGCACCACUGGACCGGAGACACGGUCCAGACUCCUACGGGAGGCAGCAGUGGGGAAUUGUGGACAAUGUGCGAAAGCCUGAUCCAGCCAUUCCGCGUGCAGGAUGAAGGCCCUCGGGUUGUAAACUGCUUUUGUACAGAACGAAAAGGUUUCUACUAAUACUAGGAGCUCAUGACGGUACUGUAAGAAUAAGCACCGGCUAACUACGUGCCAGCCGCCGCCGUAA
rnacentral:rRNA from 1 species